UAAUCGUUUAUUUCUACUGAUUCAUACGCUGUCAAAAUUAAAUCAAUAUGGCUACUGGGUGUAAAAGAUAAAUCUUAUUCUAUCUGUUCUUAAUGAGUUUUAGAUAAUUUUAGUUGUAUUUCUUUGUAAUUUUGUGUUGUACAAAGAUUAAUUUAACAUUUUCUCUGGAAGUAUUAAUUUAGAAAGAUAAUAUGCUUCAUUGGUGUUGUGUUUUGAAGUGUGAAAUGCAAAGUAAUUGUGAUAAAGUCAAGAUAAAGUUCACUUUUAAACUGAACUAAAUAAGGUAUCUGAGAGACAACAAUGGUUAAAUGCAAUACAAUGUACAGGUUUUACUAGCGAAAUGAAAAUUUUCCUGUCCUGUCUGCUGUAAUCAUUUUAUAUCUGGAAAACCAGCCGACUUAAUCGAUAAUAACAAUCUCCAGAUUGGGUUCCUUCAAUAAAUAUGGGCUAUUAACACAAUGAAAUAAGUUCCAGAAAAUCUAAAAUGGAGUGGUAUCAAAGGAGAAUUAAAGGAAAAAAUAUUCAUAUUGAAAUUAUUUAUAAGGCACUGGACUGUCUUAAAUUCUACAAUAAUACUAGAAUCAGCUGAGAGAAGUGGUCUACAAAAAACCAGGAAGGAAACGGAAUAUGUGGCUACGAAAGGCAAAAGAAAGGUUUACAAAGCAAAUGUGACACAUUUUUUUGAAAUAUUUAGGAAUAUCAGUAAAUUGCAUUAAAAAAAUGUAUGAAAAGAUUUUGUUCAAUAAAAAUGUUUAUAUUUA